GAUGAACGCUAGCUACAGGCUUAACACAUGCAAGUCGAGGGCAGCAUCAUCAAAGCUUGCUUUGAUGGAUGGCGACCGGCGCGACGGGUGAAGUAACACGUAUCCAACCUGCCGACAACACUGGGAUAGCCUUUCGAAAGAAAGAUUAAUACCGGAUGGCAUAGUUUUCCCGCAUGGGAUAAUUAUUAAAGAAUUUCGGUUGUCGAUGGGGAUGCGUUCCAUUAGGCAGUUGGCGGGGUAACGGCCCACCAAACCAACGAUGGAUAGGGGUUCUGAGAGGAAGGUCCCCCACAUUGGAACUGAGACACGGUCCAAACUCCUACGGGAGGCAGCAGUGAGGAAUAUUGGUCAAUGGACGAGAGUCUGAACCAGCCAAGUAGCGUGAAGGAUGACUGCCCUAUGGGUUGUAAACUUCUUUAUACGGGAAUAAAGUUAGCCACGUGUGGCUUUUGUAUGUACCGUAUGAAUAAGGAUCGGCUAACUCCGUG
rnacentral:rRNA from 1 species